rnacentral:lncRNA from 1 species
GACAUCUCCAUGAUUUUGAGUACUGAAGACCACCAAGAACUUAUGAAUACAAUUGCAGCAAACACUGGCGCUCAGUUAUCUCUCAUUCCUUCAAUUCCUGAUGUGCAUUCAUCAAUGGAGGCCACCAAGAACUUAUGAAUACAAUUGCAGCAAAAACUGGUGCUCAGUUAUCUCUCAUUCCUUCAACUCCCGACGUGCAUUCAUCAACGGAGCAUGACCAGUCAAAAAAUGUGGUUUCUGAUGGUCAACAAAAUCUGCUAGAAAUCAAUUCCUACGAGAUAAUGGGUAGUUUGUCUGUGGCUUGAUAUGGUUAUUAAUUUCCCUGUUUGAGAUGUUUGGAGCUCAUCUAUGUCAUUUUCCUUUGUUCUG